UACGAAGGGUGCGAGCGUUAUUCGGAUUGAUUGGGCGUAAAGGGUGCGCAGGCGGUAUGUUAAGUCAACUGUCAAAUUUCCCGGCUUAACCGGGGGUCGGCGGUAGAUACUGGCACACUAGAGGAUGGAAGAGAGAAGUGGAAUUCUCGGAGUAGCGGUAAAAUGCGUAGAUCUCGAGAGGAACACCGAUGGCGAAGGCAGCUUCUUGGUCCAUUUCUGACGCUCAUGCACGAAAGCGUGGGGAGCAAACAGG
rnacentral:rRNA from 1 species